rnacentral:pre_miRNA from 13 species
CGAUUCCUGACCUCCUAGGGCUCUGGCUGGGAUAUCAUCAUAUACUGUAAGUUUGUGAUGAGACACUACAGUAUAGAUGAUGUACUAGUCCGGGUACCCCCAGCUCUGGAGUCUGA